rnacentral:rRNA from 1 species
CCUACGGGAGGCAGCAGUGGGGAAUAUUGCACAAUGGGGGAAACCCUGAUGCAGCAACGCCGCGUGAGUGAAGAAGUAUUUCGGUAUGUAAAGCUCUAUCAGCAGGGAAGAAGAUGACGGUACCUGAGUAAGAAGCCCCGGCUAACUACGUGCCAGCAGCCGCGGUAAUACGUAGGGGGCAAGAGUUAUCCGGAUUUACUGGGUGUAAAGGGAGCGUAGACGGUGAGACAAGUCUGAAGUGAAAGCCCGGGGCUCAACCCCGGGACUGCUUUGGAAACUGCCUGACUGGAGUGCCGGAGAGGCAAGCGGAAUUCCUAGUGUAGCGGUGAAAUGCGUAGAUAUUAGGAAGAACACCGGUGGCGAAGGCGGCUUUCUGGACAGUAACUGACGUUGAGGCUCGAAAGCGUGGGGAGCAAACAGGAUUAGAUACCCGUGUAGUC